rnacentral:pre_miRNA from 1 species
GUUAAGGGGGUUGUUGUCUGGUUCAAGGCCACCACAUGCAGCAGGCAAAGCCCAUUUUGCUUAACAUGCAGUAUAGGUGUGUAUCUAUUGGUGAUCUCGGACCAGGCUUCAAUCCCUUUAAC